GUUGUUGGCCGAUUCCCGCAAUGGCACUGGAAGAAUUCACGGGUCGCAAUUAAAUUUGACAGAUUUGAAUUUCUGGAAAAUGACACACUCGUGGAUCUUCA
rnacentral:pre_miRNA from 1 species